GCCAGGCAUGGUGGUGCGCGCCUGUAAUCCCAGCUACUCGGGAGGCUGAGGCAGGAGAAUCACUUGAACCCAGGAGGUGGAGGUUGCAGUGAGCCAAGGUGGUACCACUGCACUCCAGCCUGGGUGACAGAAUGAGACUCUGUCUCUA
ensembl:misc_RNA Metazoa_SRP Metazoan signal recognition particle RNA